rnacentral:rRNA from 1 species
AACGCUGGCGGCAUGCUUUACACACGCAAGUCGAGCGGCAGCGCGGGGGCAACCCUGGCGGCUAGCGGCGAACGGGUGAGUAAUGCAUCGGAACGUGUCCCGUAGUGGGGGAUAACCCGGCGAAAGCCGGGCUAAUACCGCAUAUGCUCUACGGAGGAAAGGGGGGGAACCGCAAGGUCCUCUCGCUAUGGGAGCGGCCGAUGUCCGAUUAGCUUGUUGGUGGGGUAAUGGCUUACCAAGGCGACGAUCGGUAGCUGGUCUGAGAGGAUGAUCAGCCACACUGGGACUGAGACACGGCCCANACUCCUACGGGAGGCAGCAGUGGGGAAUUUUGGACAAUGGGGGCAACCCUGAUCCAGCCAUGCCGCGUGCGGGAAGAAGGCCUUCGGGUUGUAAACCGCUUUUAGUCGGGAAGAAAAGGCCAGGCCUGAAUACGUCUGGUUCUUGACGGUACCGGCGGAAUAAGCACCGGCUAACUACGUGCCAGCAGCCGCGGUAAUACGUAGGGUGCGAGCGUUAAUCGGAAUUACUGGGCGUAAAGCGUGCGCAGGCGGCUCGUUAAGUCUGAUGUGAAAGCCCCGGGCUCAACCUGGGAAUGGCAUUGGAAACUGGCGGGCUUGAGUGUGGCAGAGGGGGGUGGAAUUCCGCGUGUAGCAGUGAAAUGCGUAGAGAUGCGGAGGAACACCGAUGGCGAAGGCAGCCCCCUGGGCUAACACUGACGCUCAGGCACGAAAGCGUGGGGAGCAAACAGGAUUAGAUACCCUGGUAGUCCACGCCCUAAACGAUGAUCACUGGGUGUUCGGG